GCAGGGGUGGCAGAGUCUGGUCAAAUGCGCAGGGCUUAGGACCCUGUGCCUUAGGGCUGCGCAGGUUCAAAUCCUGCCCCCUGCA
rnacentral:tRNA from 1 species